rnacentral:rRNA from 1 species
UGCGCAGGCGGUCUGCUAAGUCGGAUGUGAAAGCCCCGGGCUUAACCUGGGAAUUGCAUUCGAUACUGGCAGACUAGAGUCUGGUAGAGGUAAGCGGAAUUCCGGGUGUAGCGGUGAAAUGCGUAGAUAUCCGGAGGAACAUCAGUGGCGAAGGCGGCUUACUGGACCAAGACUGACGCUCAGGCACGAAAAGCGUGGGUAGCAAACA